CUCGGGCCAGGUGCUCUGGGCCUCUGUGGGCAUCUUACCGGACAGUGCUGGAUUUCCCGGCUAGACUCUAACACUGUCUGGUAACGAUGUUCAAAGGUGACCCCCCUCCGCCAGGACACGC
rnacentral:precursor_RNA from 15 species